rnacentral:rRNA from 1 species
CCUGAUGCAGCCAUGCCGCGUGUGUGAAGAAGGCCUUCGGGUUGUAAAGCACUUUCAGCGAGGAGGAAAGGGUGUNAGUUAAUACCUUACAUCUGUGACGUUACUCGCAGAAGAAGCACCGGCUAACUCCGUGCCAGCAGCCGCGGU